rnacentral:rRNA from 1 species
AUGAGCCGCCGUUCCUCGCCAGCGCCGCUGGAUGACGGCGACCUCCUGGAGGAGAUCCUGCUCCGCCUGCCUCCUAAGCCGUCGUCCCUCCGGCGCGCAUCCAUCGUCUGCAGGCGCUGGCGUGGCAUCCUUGCCGACCGCCGAUUCAUUCGACGCUUCCGCAAACACCACCGGAAGCCUCCUCUCUUGGGCUACUUCGACAGAAAAUAUGAAGGGGCCGACUUCACUGCGAUGUCAGGGUUCACCGCCAAUAUGACCUCUAUCCCUCGUCUUUGCCACCUCAACCUCGUCGACUGCCGCCACGGUGUUGCCCUUUUUCUUGAUCAUGCACUCUGCGAGAUCCUCGUGUGGAACCCUAUCGCCGGCGUCCGGCGCCACGUGGCUUUUCCACCUUGGCUCAACAAUCGCUGUGAUUGCGUGGUCGAGACUUCCGCAGUGCUCUGCUCCGCCUCCGACGAUCUCCCGGUGCAUGGUGAUUGCCAUUUGAGCGCAUUUAAACUAGUAUUGGUUGGGGAAUAUCCUAACCAAGCAAAGGCAUUCACAUGUCUCUAUGAAUCCAAGUCUGACACAUGGAGAAAAGUUAUCACGACAGCGGCUCGAUAUGCGGUUUAUGUGAACAGGCCCAACGUCCUAGUUGGAAAUACACUUUGCUGGUUACUUUACAGCGCAGACCUCCUUCAGUUUGAUUUUGGAAAUCAGAAGUUUGUUGUGAUUGAGAAGCCAGCAGACGCCUAUGCUCAUGUCAACUGUUAG